UUUUGGUUUUCUUUCUAAUUUCCUUUUCGAUAGCUAGGGAUUCUUUCUACUUUCCCUUUCAAACACCUCCUCUACGCUCUCAACACCACUGAUAUCGCCUUCUCUAUUUCCACAGAUUUCCUCCAUUUUCGAACACCGCAUCUGCAAAACAAACUAUGAAAGAAGCAGCGAAAUACAAGGUCACGAAACCAUCUGUUUUCACCUUCACACCCGAUUCAAGUCUCGAAUCGCAUUUCUUUGACAGAUCUCAGCUCUUUGAGUCAGGUUUGCUUCUCUUAUCUUCCUCCUUUUCUCUCCAUUUACACCCCUGCUCUCUCUCUCUCUCUCUCUCUAUCUCUCUCUCUCUCUCUCUCUCUCUCUCUCUCUCUCUCUCUCUCUCUCUCUCUCUCUCUCUCUCUCUCUUUUAUCUUCUUCAACCUCUGGAAAACCUAGCUUAUAGUUUCUUCUCAAAUAGCAAGGGUUUGAAUUAUCUACAUGAGAAUUAUAAACUGAAGAUGGCACAUAGGGGUAUUAAAACUGCUAAUAUCCUUGUUGAUGAUGCUUUAAACGCUAAGAUAUCAGACUUUGGGAAUCCUAUCCUUUAUGCAGAGGAUGGACAGGACAAUGAAUUUAAGGUCAUCAAAGUAGAAGCAACACGGUUUGUCUUGCAGAAUCAAAACACAAGCUACUGAAAUUAGUGGAUAAUUAACCAUCUUAACGUUAGCAGUGAAGUGCACCAAUAUAUCCACCACUGUCAGACCCAGCUUUCCUCCAUGGAUAAGACUUCCUAGGGUCUUUGCAAAAAUUAUUUCAAAUCUCUUCUUCAUGACGAUGAACAACCACCACCUUUGCUUCUCUGAUGAUCUCUAUAUGCUAGCUCUUUUCUCAAAUUAAGAAAUUGUUUUUGAGUUAAAUUUUAUGUGAAGAAUUAAGAGAGACCAGAUCAUAAGUUAUUAGAGAGAGCACUUUUCUUGCAUAAAUUCUUUUCUUUUAAGGUACAUUGUGUAUUUUUAUGUUUUUGACACAAAACUCAAUCUCUAUCUAUUCUUUUA